rfam:Thioclava indica strain DT23-4 contig2, whole genome shotgun sequence.
GACCCGCUCCAACGGCUUCCUGACGGUGCGGGGGUAUUCACAACGGAGCA